rnacentral:lncRNA from 1 species
CUUCCUCCAUCCCUCCUCCCUCCUCUUUCUUCCCUUCCUCUAUCCCUCCCCUUUCCUCCCACGGGUGGUUGUUGUCCUUGAUCUUUUUUGGCCUUCCUGUGACAUCGGGUGGUGUAGGUGUCCUGGAGGGCAGGUAGUUUGCCCCCGGUAAUGUGUUGUGUAGACCGCACCACCCUCUGGAGAGCCCUGCGGUUGUGGGCGGUGCAGUUGCCGUACCAGGCGGUGAUACAGCCCGACAGGAUGCUCUCAAUUGUGCAUCUGUAGAAGUAUGUGAGGGUUUUAGGUGCCAAGUCAAAUUUAUUCAGCCUCCUAAGGUUGAAGAGGCGCUGUUACUUUACUGUGCCUGCCAUGGGGAAGUGUCUGAAAUGUAUUGGAUCUGGAGAUAAUAUUGAGGCACUGUGUUUGUAUUUUAGGCUGACAAGGAGAACUGGAUUAAAAUAGUAAUAAUAUAACAUUAUUAUUAGGUUGGCUAGGGGGGUUAGGGGUCAUUUAAGGUUGGUUAGGGGUUAGGGGUCAUUUAAGGGGUCUCUCACGUCACCCCGCUCCUCCGCUCUCUCCACUGGCUUCCAGUCGAAGCUCGCAUCCGCUACAAGACCAUGGUGCUUGCCUACGGAGCUGUGAGGCGAACGGCACCUCCGUACCUUCAGGCUCUGAUCAGGCCCUACACCCAAACAAGGGCACUCCGUUCAUCCACCUCUGGCCUGCUCGCCUCCCUACCUCUGAGGAAGCACAGUUCCCGCUCAGCCCAGUCAAAACUGUUCGCUGCUCUGGCACCCCAAUGGUGGAACAAGCUCCCUCACGACACCAGGACAGCGGAGUCAAUCACCACCUUCCGGAGUCACCUGAAACCCCACCUCUUCAAGGAAUACCUGGGAUAGGAUAAAGUAAUCCUUCUAACCCCCCCCUUAAAAGAUUUAGAUGCACUAUUGUAAAGUGGUUGUUCCACUGGAUAUUAUAAGGUGAAUGCACCAAUUUCUAAGUCGCUCUGGAUAAGAGCGUCUGCUAAAUGACUUAAAUGUAAAUGUUAAGGCUGGUUAGGGGGUUAGGGGUCAUUUAAGGCUGGUUAGGGGGUUAGGGGUCAUUUAAGGUUGGUUAGGGGUCAUUUAAGGUUGGUUAGGGGUCAUUUAAGGUUGGUUAGGGGUCAUUUAAGGUUGGUUAGGGGGUUAGGGGUCAUUUAAGGUUGGUUAGGGGUCAUUUAAGGUUGGUUAGGGGGUUAGGGGUCAUUUAAGGUUGGUUAGGGGUCAUUUAAGGCUGGUUAGGGGUCAUUUAAGGCUGGUUAGGGGGUUAGGGGUCAUUUAAGGCUGGUUAGGGGUCAUUUAAGGCUGGUUAGGGGGUUAGGGGUCAUUUAAGGCUGGUUAGGGGGUUAGGGAUCAUUUAAGGUUGGUUAGGGGUCAUUUAAGGCUGGUUAGGGGUCAUUUAAGGCUGGUUAGGGGGUUAGUGUAACUUACUUAGGGUUCGGUUACUCAGCUAGAAUUAGGGCUGUAUUCAAUCUGGAUGGCUGAAACAUUACAGGCCGUGUGAUAGAAAUGUAAAGGUCAUUUCCCAUUGGAGAGCUGACAUAUGCAGCGCUGACCGUGAAUCUCUGCUAAUACAGGAACGUUGCCUUUACAUUUCUAUCAGCUGGUUGAACAUCAGCCAUACGGAUUGAAUAGAGCCCUUAGAGUCGGGAGGACCUUUUGGGUGGGUUAUUACUAGAGCUCAGAGUUUAUCCCGGUUUAGGGUCAGGGCUCUAAACGUUCUACAGAACUGUUACAGACUUCUAAACUACCGGUACUGUCGACUCAGCAGAGAAAUGAAGAGCUCUUCUGUCACAAAGUAGAUGUUAAUAUUGGAGAUGAUAUUUGAUCAUGUUUUAUAACCUGUAGCAGUAGAGAUGGGGAUUUCCUGUUAAAGGUCAACUUUGGACACGAAAAAUAGUCCAAAUCCGCAUCUUUCCCAAUUUUUCAAACGUAAAUGGGGUGUGCCUUUGGUGUUACAUCAGGGUCAUUCUAGUCACAUGACCAACGCGCAGUUGAAGUAGGAAGUUUACAUACACCUCAGCCAAACACAUUUACACUCAGUUUUUCACAAUUCCUGACAUUUUAAUCCUAAUAAAAAUUCCCUGUCUUAGGUCAGUUAGGAUCACCACUUUAUUUUAAGAAUGUGAAAUGUCAGAAUAAUAGUAGAGAGAAUGAUUUAUUUCAGCUUUUAUUUCUUUCAUUACAUUCCCCGUGGGUCAGAAGUUUACAUACACUCAAUUAGUAUUUGGUAGCAUUGCCUUUAAAUUGUUUACCUUGGGUCAAACGUUUCGGGUAGCCUUCCACAAGCUUCCCACAAUAAGUUGGGUGAAUUUUGGCCCAUUCCUCCUGACAGAGCUGGUGUAACUGAGUCAGGUUUGUAGGCCUCCUUGCACGCACACACUUUUUCAGUUAUGCCCACAGAUUUUCUAUAGGAUUGAGGUCAGGGCUUUGUGAUGGACACUCCAAUACCUUGACUUUGUUGUCAUUAAGGCAUUUUGCAACAACUUUGGAAGUAUGCUUGGGGUCAUUGUCCAUUUGGAAGACCCAUUUGAGACCAAGCUUUAACUUCCUGACUGAUGUCUUGAGAUGUUGCUUCAAUAUAUCCACAUAAUUUUCCAGCCUCGUGAUGCCAUCUAUUUUGUGAAGUGCACCAGUCCCUCCUGCAGCAAAGCACCCCCCACAACAUGAUGCUGCCACCCCCGUGCUUCACGGUUGGGAUGGUGUUCUUCGGCUUGCAAGCCUCCCCCUUUUUCCACCAAACAUAACGAUGGUCAUUAUGGCCAAACAGUUCUAUUUUUGUUUCAUCAGACCAGAGGACAUUUCUCCAAAAAGUACGAUCUUUGUCCCCAUGUGCAGUUGCAAACCGUUGUCUGGCUUUUUUAAUGGCGGUUUUGGAGCAGUGGCUUCUUCCUUGCUGAGCGGCCUUUCAGGUUAUGUCGAAAUAGUACUCGUUUUACUGUGGAUAUAGAUACUUUUGUACCUGUUUCCUCCAGCAUCUUCACAAGGUCCUUUGCUGUUGUUCUGGGAUUGAUUUGCACUUUUCACACCAAAGUACGUACAUCUCUAGGAGACAGAACGCGUCUCCUUCCUGAGCGGUAUGACGGCUGCGUGGUCCCAUGGUGUUUAUACUUGCGUACUAUUGUUUGUACAGAUGAACGUGGUACCUUCAGGCGUUUGGAAAUUGCUCCCAAGGAUGAACCAGACUUGUGGAGGUCUAGAAUUUUUUUUCUGAGGUCUUGGCUGAUUUCUUUUGAUUUUCCCAUGAUGUCAAGCAAAGAGACACUGAGUUUGAAGGUAGGCCUUGAAAUACAUCCACAGGUACACCUCCAAUUGACUCAAAUGAUGUCAAUUAGCCUAUCAGAAGCUUCUAAAGCCAUGACAUCAUUUUCUGGAAUUUUCCAAGCUGUUUAAAGGCACAGUCAACUUAGUGUAUGUAAACUUCUGACCCACUGGAAUUGUGAUACAGGGAAUUAUAAGUGAAAUAAUCUCUCUGUAAACAAUUGUUGGAAAAAUUACUUGUGUCAUGCACAAAGUAGAUGUCCUAACCGACUUUCCAAAACUAUAGUUUGUUAACAAGAAAUUUGUGGAGUGGUUGAAAAACAAGUUUUAAUGACUCCAACCUAAGUGUAUGUAAACUUCGACUUCAACUGUAGCUCGUUCAUUAGCUAUGAAAGCCACUGUAGCUAGUUUGUUAGCUAAGAUAGCCACUGUAGCUAAUUCGUUAGCUAAGCUAGCCACUGUAGCUAAUUCGUUAGCUAAGCUAGCCACUGUAGCUAGUUCGUUAGCUAAGCCAUCCACUGUACUUAGUUUGUUAGCUAAGCCAGCCACUGUAGCUAGUUUGUUAGCUAAGCUAGCCACUGUAUCUAGUUCGUUAGCUAAGCUAGCCACUGUAGCUAGUUUGUUAGCUAAGCUAGCCACUAGAGCUAGUUCAUUAGCUAAGCCAUCCACUGUAGCUAGUUUGUUUGCUAAGCCAGCCACUAUAGCUAGUUUGUUAGCAAAGCUAGCCACUGUAGCUAGCCAGUAACUCCUCCAGUAUGUGUUGACAUCAUUUCACAGGAUUUGUUUUUGGAGAUCGGAAAGAAAUGGCACUUCUGUAGCCAAAUAUCUUAUUUAACCAUUUUAAGCAAUAAAUGACCAUGUAUGGUGGUGCAUUGAUCAGUUAUACUGUUUAAAAUACAUAAUUUUUGCGCUUUUGCCCAGAAUCGACCUUCAAAUGUAUUGGCAGAGAUGUCCAGCAGGGUAGACUGGAGGGGAUGGGAGGUGAGUUGGUAAUGAAAUACUAAACUUGAUGACAAAUAAAUACUUUUAAAGAAACGCACAAAUGGAAAAACAUCUCAAAUAACAGUUUAAUAAAGUUCCUUCAACAUGUCUGUUGAUAACAGCCCUGUUUCAUCCUAUGACAUUACAUACAUCCCCGUUUCAUCCUAUGAUGUUAUAUACAUCCUUUAAGUGAAAUAAAAGGCAAUGUUGAAUAACAUAAAGCAUUUGUGAUUGAUAUACAUUCUUGUCUGUAUGUAUCAGUGCAUUUGGAAAGUAUUCAGACCCCUUCACUUUUUCCA